UUCCAACGAUGUUCCAAGGCGUCCACGAUCCGAAUGAGGAGAAAGUGGUGAAGUCGUUGAGGGACACACUACUAUCGAAGGGUCAGCUACCUGAGAAGUAUGAUGACUACCAUACACUUCUCCGGUAUGGCUAGAAUACAUUUGUUAAGUAGCUGGAAGAAAUUUCUCUUUUUGAAUCCUUCUUAUUAUUAUAUUGAUCAUACAUGUCCUAGUUCUAUAUCGUGUGAAAGAAUUUUACUAUUGAUGCUAUAGCUUUCUAUUCUUCUCUGCAGAUUUUUGUGAUUGCGGAACUUCAACAUGUCUAAGGCAGAGAUCAUGUUUGUUAAUAUGCUCAAGUGGAGAGAUAGUUCUGGUGUUUAUCUUAUUGCAAAAGUAAUAUAUUCCUGACAUGUUUUUCUCCCUAUGGGUUACUAUGUGGGCAUUUCAAUUCAACACCUCACGACUUUUACUGACUUUGACACAAAUAUGAUGAAACAAAUAACAAUUUUCAUCCAAUUUCUACAAUAAUAUUUCUGCCGAGAUCUUUUUCCUUGCAAACAUUAAAUCAAAUGACAGAUUAAAAAAAUGUCUUUUAAAUGCUGGUUUUUUCUAAAUAAUGCUUUCAUUUUUUUCAAACAUAACCAUGAUGAUCCAUGUGAAUAUACAUUCCUUUGCAGGUUUUGGAUUCUUUAUAGGGCCAAGCAAGAUGGACCAGUAGUCUUGGGUUGGCGUCAUCCUUGGGAAGGGCAUGGAGAUCACUCACAUGAUCAUGUGCCUGAAGACAAGGUGUAGAUGUUAGAACAUCCAAGAUAUGCGAACUUGGAAUAUUGAAUUAUAGAGCUAAGCGAGUGCUUUGGAUUGCCCUCCGCCAGCUUGAAGUAAUUGAGACCCACAGUGGAUAUGGUUCUCAUCACACAUCUUUCCUGUAAUGAAUUAAGAUUGUCUGCUACAUUUUUGACCUGGCUCUGAUCCAUUAGAUCUGUGUAACUAUGCUGUAAGAUUUCACAGUAGAACGAGAGACAUGUGAGAAGGCUUCAAGUUACAAAGGACACAAACCUUCCGAUUCUGCACCAGUGAUUUAGAGAACAUAGGAAAUUCACAUCCAAAUGGAAGAAAAUUUGAAAAGGGAAGCAAAAUAAAC